GUCGAGAAUCUUUCACAAUGGGGGCAACCCUGAUGGAGCGACGCCGCGUGGAGGAUAAGGUCUUCGGAUUGUAAACUCCUGUCAUGCGUGAACAAGGUUGCUUGGUUAAUACCUGGGCAAAUUGAUGGUAACGCAAGAGGAAGAGACGGCUAACUCUGUGCCAGCAGCCGCGGUAAUACAGAGGUCUCAAGCGUUGUUCGGAAUCACUGGGCGUAAAGGGUGCGUAGGUGGCGUGGUAAGUCAGAUUUGAAAGCCCGGUGCUCAAGCUCGGAACUGCAUCCGAUACUGCCAUGCUAGAGUACUGGAGAGGUGACUAGAAUUCUCGGUGUAGCAGUGAAAUGCGUAGAUAUCGAGAGGAAUACCAAAGGCGUAGGCAGGUCACUGGACAGUUACUGACACUGAGGCACGAAGGCCAGGGGAGCGAACGGGAUUAGAUACCCUAGUAGUCC
rnacentral:rRNA from 1 species